GACAGAGGGUGCGAACGUUGUUCGGAAUUACUGGGCGUAAAGCGCGUGUAGGCGGCAGCGUGUGUCGGGCGUGAAAUCCCACGGCUCAACCGUAGAAGUGCACUCGAAACUGCGCAGCUAGAGUCCUGGAGAGGAAGGUGGAAUGCUUGGUGUAGAGGUGAAAUUCGUAGAUAUCAAGCGGAACACCGGUGGCGAAGGCGGCCUUCUGGACAGUGACUGACGCUGAGACGCGAAAGCGUGGGGAGCAAACAGG
rnacentral:rRNA from 1 species